UAGAUUUUACAUAAUUUUUAUAUCGAAAAAUUUAAAUAAAUAUUUUUUUUUAUAAAUUCAUAAUAGAUAAAUCCAGAUAAAAUUUUAUCAGUGUCCUCUUGCUUCACUAUUUAGAAAUGAGAAGCAAUGGGAGAAGAAUAAAAACCCAAACAUAAGAGGACACCAGCAGGCAAUGACUCUUAAAGAUUUCACCCUUUGUCGAACAGGCCACUACAAGGAAAUAUAAAAUCACAAGCAUGACGACUAAAUACAAGGCCAAAAACCCAACAGAUUUCAAUUUCAGCCUACCAUUACUUGGAAAAAUCAAAAGGAUUAUGAGACUUACAGAUGCUAAAAAGGCUUGACUGUUAACAGUGAUUAAUAUCUCAUAAAUAUUAGGAACUUCAUCAUAGAGGAUACUGAUCCCAGCAACAUGGCCAACAGCAGUUGCGUUGGAGCUGGAGCUGGAGCUGGAGCUGGGGGAUGAUUCAGUGUCUUGCCAGAAGCCGCCUGGUGGUGCAACAGCAAUCUGGAAGGUGACUGUUAUAACAAUUGAUGCCAUUACUAGAAGUCCAUUUGUUAGCUUUUUUGUAAUAAUUAAUGAUCAUGAUCAACUCUGUGUCUGGGGAUUGGCUGGGUCUGAGCCUGAUGAUUCUGAUCAUCAGCUGGAUAACGAAGGGAAUUGCUAUCCAUUUCUAAAUAAACAAACUAAAGCAUUACAACCUCCACUCUUCUUAUUUAUGCAUGUUCAAGAAUGUGUUAGGUAUAACGGAUAUUGGAGAAUUGUUGAUUUCAUGAUUAAAAAAGAAUGUAUAACAGUUUUAAAAAUAUUAAAUUUAAUUUUUUGGUUUAAAUUUACCUUUAAAUUAUAAUUAAAAAGCUAAAUAAAUUUGUGUUAAUUUUUUUCUCCCAAUAAAUUUUUUUCCCUUUGUCUUCGUUAGUUUCAUGGUUUCAGCUUAGUAAUGGGUGGAUCCGCACCGGACAAAGGAAUUGAAAGCUUAGAAGUUUCCGCCACAGGAUUGAUUAUUGCUGCGAGUUUUUGACAUAGACGUAUACCAAACAUCCCACCAUAAAAAAAUCUGAAAAUGUAGAAGCAAACAAAAUAUGGGUG
rnacentral:lncRNA from 1 species